AAUGAAGAAGAUAAGUCUGUUACAGCAGACAUGCUUAUACUAUCUGGAAGUGCUAUUGUGAAUGAUACCAUUCUCACAGGCGAGUCUACUCUCCAAUGGAAGGUUUCUAUAGCAGGCAGGGGUAUUGAGAAGAAGCUAUCUUCCAAGCGUGACAAUAAUCAUAUUUUGUUUGGUGGGACUAAAAUAUUGCAGCACACAGCUGAUAAGAGCUUCCCUCUGAGAACUCCGGAUGAUGGUUGCUUGGUUGU